UGGGGAAUCUUGGACAAUGGGGGAAACCCUGAUCCAGCAAUGCCGCGUGUGUGAAGAAGGCCUGAGGGUUGUAAAGCACUUUUAGAGGGAAAGAAAUCUUCAAUGCUAAUAUCAUUGAGGUUUGACGUUACCCUAAGAAAAAGCACCGGCUAACUCUGUGCCAGCAGCCGCGGUAAUACAGAGGGUGCAAGCGUUAAUCGGAAUUACUGGGCGUAAAGCGCACGUAGGUGGUUAUAUAAGUCAGAUGUGAAAUCCCCGGGCUUAACCUGGGAACUGCAUUUGAAACUGUAUGACUAGAGUAGGGUAGAGGAGAGGGGAAUUUCCGGUGUAGCGGUGAAAUGCGUAGAUAUCGGAAGGAACACCAGUGGCGAAGGCGCCUCUCUGGAUUCAUACUGACACUGAGGUGCGAAAGCGUGGGGAGCAAACAGG
rnacentral:rRNA from 1 species